rnacentral:rRNA from 1 species
CGGCGGACGGGUGAGUAACACGUGGAUAACCUACCUAUAAGACUGGGAUAACUUCGGGAAACCGGGGCUAAUACCGGAUAAUAUAUUUAACCGCAUGGUUCAAUAGUGAAAGACGGUUUUGCUGUCACUUAUAGAUGGAUCCGCGCCGCAUUAGCUAGUUGAUAAGGUAACGGCUUACCAAGGCAACGAUGCGUAGCCGACCUGAGAGGGUGAUCGGCCACACUGGAACUGAGACACGGUCCAG